rnacentral:rRNA from 1 species
UACGUGAGGGGGCAACGUUGUCCGGAUUUAUUGGGCGUAAAGAGCGUGUAGGCGGCCAGGUAGGUCUGCUGUGAAAACUCGAGGCUUAACCUCGAGCUGUCGGCGGAAACCAUCUGGCUAGAGUCCGGAAGAGGAGAAUGGAAUUCCCGGUGUAGCGGUGAAAUGCGCAGAUAUCGGGAAGAACACCCGUGGCGAAAGGCGGUUCUCUGGACGGUACUGACGCUGAGACGCGAAAGCGUGGGAGCGAACAGG